rnacentral:rRNA from 1 species
UUUUUGAAUAUAAUUUAAAGUAGGGCCUGCCCCUGAGUAAUUGAAGGGCCGCAGUAUUUUGACUGUGCAAAGGUAGCAUAAUCAUUAGUUUUUUAAUUGAAAGCUUGUAUGAAUGGUUUGAUGAGAAAAUUUCUUUCUAUAUUUAAUUUUUUAAAAAAUUUAUUUUUAAGUUAAAAAGCUUAAAUAUUUUUGAUAGACGAGAAGACCCUAUAGAGUUUUAUUAUAAUUUUUUUUUUUUUAAUUUAGAAUUUUAAUAUUUAAAUUUUUUUAUAAUUUAAUUGGGGUGAUUGAAAAAUUAAUUUAACUUUUUCUUUUUUUCUACAUAUUUACAUGAUUUUUUGGUCCAAUUUUUUUUGAUUAAAAGAUUAAAUUACCUUAGGGAUAACAGCGUUAUUUUUUUUUAGAGUUCUAAUCGAAAAAAGAGAUUGCGACCUCGAUGUUGGAUUAAAGUUAAUUUUUGGUGUAGGGC